rnacentral:rRNA from 1 species
CCUACGGGCGGCAGCAGUGGGGAAUAUUGCACAAUGGGGGAAACCCUGAUGCAGCGACGCCGCGUGAGCGAGGAAGUAUUUCGGUAUGUAAAGCUCUAUCAGCAGGGACGAAAAAAGACGGUACCUGACUAAGAAGCCCCGGCUAACUACGUGCCAGCAGCCGCGGUAAUACGUAGGGGGCAAGCGUUAUCCGGAUUUACUGGGUGUAAGGGAGCGUAGACGGCAGCGCAAGGCUGAAGUGAAAUGCCGGGGCUUAACCCCGGAACUGCUUUGGAAAAUGUGCAGCUAGAGUGCAGGAGAGGUAAGUGGAAUUCCUAGUGUAGCGGUGAAAUGCGUAGAUAUUAGGAGGAACACCAGUGGCGAAGGCGGCUUACUGGACUGUAACUGACGUUGAGGCUCGAAAGCGUGGGGAGCAAACAGGAUUAGAUACCCCUGUAGUC